UACGUAGGGCGCGAGCGUUGUCCGGAAUUAUUGGGCGUAAAGAGCUCGUAGGCGGCUUGUCGCGUCGGUUGUGAAAGCCCGGGGCUUAACCCCGGGUCUGCAGUCGAUACGGGCAGGCUAGAGUUUCGGUAGGGGAGAUCGGAAUUCCUGGUGUAGCGGUGAAAUGCGCAGAUAUCAGGAGGAACACCGGUGGCGAAGGCGGAUCUCUGGGCCAUUACUGACGCUGAGGAGCGAAAGCGUGGGGAGCGAACAGG
rnacentral:rRNA from 1 species